GAUCUGGCAACGAUUUACAGCAGUUGCCAUGACAAUAUUUGCAACGUCUAACGAAUGUUCCCUAAACAACUUUUGGGGACGAUUUUGAGGUGCCAUUAGCAUACAUGUUUGCCAAUAGUUGACAAACGUCCCCUUUAAGUCUUACUGGGAACGAUUUUACGUUGUUGCAUUAUUUUUAACAAAAGGCACGUUUCUUAAAUGAUGCAGAUAAAUUUCACAUACCAAAAAAUUAUUUAGUUUUUUUUGUUAAAAAAAAAAUGACACCUAAAAAUUAGGCGCCAAAAUUCCCUCCAAAUUAAAGUUAUUUUGUUUUUUUUUUAUUAAAAAAAAAUAUUCUCCAAAUCUGUACAAACAAAACGACACUCAAAAACAAAAAACAAACACUCUUCUGAACCAGAAACGUGAAACUCUUCUUCUCCAAAUCGACCCAGCUCCAAAUCGUACUCAUCUCCAAAACUUUCAUCUCCAAAACAUGAUUUCCUGAAACCCUCAUGAGAGUUCGAUCUCGUUUUAUCGUUUGAGAUCGAGUUCAUCUCUGCCGUUAUCGUUGGAGACCUAGUUCAACCGAUUGACCCAAAUCGCUGCAAUUUCUACUCUGAGCUUCUCUUAUCUCUUCUAUUUCACAGCUUAAGCCUCAAUCUCUUCAAUUUCGCAGAUCAAUACUCCAAUCCCUUUGAUUGCCCUAAUCAGAUUGUAAGUACAAAUUAGGUUUAUUUUUUUAUUUAACUAAAUUUCAUAUAUUUUUGUACUUGAACUACUACUUCACUACAAAUGAAGCUUGAAAUAUUUGUAUAUUAGUUGUAUUUUUUCAGUCAAGUUAAUUAUUUUAAAGUUUAGAUUUUUCUAAAAAAAUCAUUCUUUCUAGUGUUCAAAAUUUGGUAGGCUUGCGUGUUUGUGCAUUUUUCUUCAUACUUGGUAAGCUUGUCUUUAGGUGUUUGGGUUGUAUGUUCACUUGUAUUCUUUUGUUGUGGUUCCUGUUGUAUUAUGUAUCCCUUGUUGGCCUCUAAGUACUCGAUCUGUACCACCGGCGAAAGAGAUUGUUGAAACUAAUAUUUCAUUGAUAUGUUUCUCGUAGAUAGCAUUAUAUUUUCUGUUUAAGUUGUUAUGUGUAACAAUGACAUUUAUCUAGCUUUUGUUCUGUGAAGCUUUUUUAUUUUAUUUUGUAUGUUGAUUGUAUAGUUAUGUCCCAUAUUGUCU
rnacentral:lncRNA from 1 species